GCGGCGAUGGUUUCCACCCAGGUCAUCUUGAUGCUGGCGGAGGACGCCUGCAGCGUGAAGCGCUCCGCUGAGCCGCGAGACCACAACACAAACUUACAGGGAUCACCGUCCACACUGUCCUGCAUCGCCAGAGUCUAACCUUGAUGCUGUUCUUGAACUGGUAUCCCGGGUUGUUGGAGCCUUUGCGCAGCAGUUCGCUGAAGAUGACGAUCUGCUCAAAAAGGAAAACUCGACGCUCUUUACUGCGAGACAAAACUCCUCCGUCCUGCUCCCAAACACAGAAGGUCUCCUGCUGCAGCAGCUUCCCCUGAGACGUCAACUUCCCCUGGAUGACAGACAGGAGAAUUAUCUCAUCUGAAAACUUGUUGCUUCUCCUGUGUCUGGCUGCUGUACGGAGAAGCCCUCUACACCAAACUCCAUUCAAAAAUGUACCCGUUUAGUGAAGCCUGCAGGAGUACUGUGCGGCUCAGCCAUUACCUUCAGGGUGUUUCCAGUUCCAGAGCCGCUGCGUUUGGGCCCUGGAGACCCGACGGCGCCCCCUGGACCCCCACCCACUCCAUACACUGUAGGGGAGGUGGCACCUGAGAGAGGAGGAGCAACGACAGGGGUCAGUGACGUCAUGGUGCGUUCACUGUGCAUCAGUAAUACACCACCCGGGUCUUUCGGCUGAACGCUCCACCAGCUCCACGGUCUGACCACAGCGAACGCUGAGCUCUCCUGGUCCCCCGGAGGAGAAAUCCAACAACACCACCACUAACUCACAGCCUCCUGACAGCUGGACAGACAGACAGUUUGUUUCAUGUAGAGAGGAAUCGAACGUGGGCGUGUGAACUGACCUGCGGCUGAUGCUGCGCUGUCGCCCCAGGGUGGGGUUGGGAGUCUUUGGGAGGGGGAUUGGCUCCCUCAGCGCCCCCCGCAGGUGAC